CUAGUGACCGAUAGUGAACCAGUACCGUGAGGGAAAGGUGAAAAGCACCCCGGGAGGGGAGUGAAAUAGAACCUGAAACCGUGUGCCUACAACAAGUUCGAGCCCGUUAAUGGGUGAGAGCGUGCCUUUUGUAGAAUGAACCGGCGAGUUACGAUAUGAUGCGAGGUUAAGUUGAAGAGACGGAGCCGUAGGGAAACCGAGUCUGAAUAGGGCGCAUUAGUAUCAUGUCGUAGACCCGAAACCAUGUGACCUACCCAUGAGCAGGUUGAAGGUGAGGUAAAACUCACUGGAGGACCGAACCAGGGCACGUUGAAAAGUGCUUGGAUGACUUGUGGGUAGCGGAGAAAUUCCAAACGAACUUGGAGAUAGCUGGUUCUCUCCGAAAUAGCUUUAGGGCUAGCGUCGAUGUUAAGUCUCUUGGAGGUAGAGCACUGUUUGGGUGAGGGGUCCAUCCCGGAUUACCAAUCUCAGAUAAACUCCGAAUGCCAACGAGAUAUAAUCGGCAGUCAGACUGCGAGUGCUAAGAUCCGUAGUCGAAAGGGAAACAGCCCAGACCACCAGCUAAGGUCCCAAAAUAUAUGUUAAGUGGAAAAGGAUGUGGGGUUGCACAGACAACUAGGAUGUUAGCUUAGAAGCAGCUAUUCAUUCAAAGAGUGCGUAAUAGCUCACUAGUCGAGUGACCCUGCGCCGAAAAUGUACCGGGGCUAAAACAAUUUACCGAAGCUGUGGAUCCCUUAGGGGAUGGUAGGAGAGCGUUCUAUGUGUGGAGAAGGUGUACCGUGAGGAGCGCUGGAACGCAUAGAAGUGAGAAUGCCGGUAUGAGUAGCGAAAGACAGGUGAGAAUCCUGUCCACCGUAAGACUAAGGUUUCCAGGGGAAGGCUCGUCCGCCCUGGGUUAGUCGGGACCUAAGGAGAGACCGAAAGGUGUAUCCGAUGGCCAACAGGUUGAUAUUCCUGUACUAGAGUAUGAAGUGAUGGAGGGACGCAGUAGGCUAACUAAAGCAGACGACUGGAAGAGUCUGUCUAAGCAGUGAGGCGUGGUAUGAGUCAAAUGCUUAUACCUAUAACGUUGAGCUGUGAUGGGGAGCGAAGUUUAGUAGCGAGUGAGUGAUGUCACACUGCCAAGAAAAGCUUCUAGCGUUGUAUCAUACUCUACCCGUACCGCAAACCGACACAGGUAGUCGAGGCGAGUAGCCUCAGGUGAGCGAGAGAACUCUCGUUAAGGAACUCGGCAAAAUGGCCCCGUAACUUCGGGAGAAGGGGCGCUGACUUAUGGUCAGCCGCAGUGAAUAGGCCCAAGCAACUGUUUAUCAAAAACACAGCUCUCUGCUAAAUCGUAAGAUGAUGUAUAGGGGGUGACGCCUGCCCGGUGCUGGAAGGUUAAGAGGAGUGCUUAGCAAUAGCGAAGGUAUGAAUUGAAGCCCCAGUAAACGGCGGCCGUAACUAUAACGGUCCUAAGGUAGCGAAAUUCCUUGUCGGGUAAGUUCCGACCCGCACGAAAGGCGUAAUGAUUUGGGCACUGUCUCAACGAGAGACUCGGUGAAAUUUUAGUACCUGUGAAGAUGCAGGUUACCCGCGACAGGACGGAAAGACCCCAUGGAGCUUUACUGCAGUUUGAUAUUGAGUGUCUGUGCCACAUGUACAGGAUAGGUAGGAGCCAUUGAGAUCGGGACGCCAGUUUCGAUGGAGGCGUUGUUGGGAUACUACCCUUGUGUUAUGGCCACUCUAACCCGGAUAGGUGAUCCCUAUCGGAGACAGUGUCUGACGGGCAGUUUGACUGGGGCGGUCGCCUCCUAAAAGGUAACGGAGGCGCCCAAAGGUUCCCUCAGAAUGGUUGGAAAUCAUUCGCAGAGUGUAAAGGUAUAAGGGAGCUUGACUGCGAGAGCUACAACUCGAGCAGGGACGAAAGUCGGGCUUAGUGAUCCGGUGGUUCCGCAUGGAAGGGCCAUCGCUCAACGGAUAAAAGCUACCCUGGGGAUAACAGGCUUAUCUCCCCCAAGAGUCCACAUCGACGGGGAGGUUUGGCACCUCGAUGUCGGCUCAUCGCAUCCUGGGGCUGUAGUCGGUCCCAAGGGUUGGGCUGUUCGCCCAUUAAAGCGGCACGCGAGCUGGGUUCAGAACGUCGUGAGACAGUUCGGUCCCUAUCCGUCGCGGGCGUAGGAAAUUUGAGAGGAUCUGCUCCUAGUACGAGAGGACCAGAGUGGACUUACCGCUGGUGUACCAGUUGUUCUGCCAAGAGCAUCGCUGGGUAGCUAUGUAGGGAAGGGAUAAACGCUGAAAGCAUCUAAGUGUGAA
rnacentral:rRNA from 1 species